rnacentral:tRNA from 1 species
GUCAAUGUAGCUUAUUUUUUUGAAAGCACGGCACUGAAGUUGCUGAGAUGAGAAAUAAAAAAAUCUCCACGGACA